UACGAGUGCCCCAAGCGUUAUCCGGAAUCAUUAGGCGUAAAGGGUGUGUAGGUGGCGAUGUUAGUCUUCUGUCAAAUUCUUCGGCUUAACCGGGGGUCUGCAGGGGAAACGGCAUUGCUCGAGGAUGCGAGGGGUGAAUGGAACUCAUGGAGUAGGGGUGAAAUCCGUUGAUAUCAUGGGGAACACCAAAAGCGAAGGCAAUUCACUGGCGCAUUCCUGACACUGAAACACGAAAGCGUGGGUGAGCGAACGGG
rnacentral:rRNA from 1 species